AGAGGGUCUGCGAGGGGCUUUCUCUCCACCCGCAGUAGCGCCUCUCACCGUUCUUUGCCCUGCACCUUUGCUUUCUUUUCUUCUUGGCAUGGGCACCACCUGACAUAAACUUAUUUAUCGGUUUCUUUUACUAGAACAUAAGCUUCAUGAGAUAUGACGUACGUUCCAUGAGAUCAGGAGCUUUAUUCUGUCCAGCUCCUAAAAGAAGGCCUGGCACAUAAUAGGCAUUCACCGAUCAGUUGAAUGGAUCUGUUAAUGAAAGGCAAUGUGAGAAGCCUCCUAAGAGGUGGAAGCUUAGAUGUCAGCAUGCCCUUGAGUAAAGAACAGGACCAAAGAGGAGAUUAUCCACAUAAAGAGAAGUGUAGAAGAAUGAAUGGGAUGUAGAGAACAGAUGAGCAAAAAGCGGAGAAAAGAAGGAACAGAGCCACUCAUUCCACAGUUCUCUCCAAUUCAGUACACAAGAUGACGAUUCCAUGUGACGAUGUUUGAUGUGUCAGCUCCUUUACCUAGCAGUUAUACUAAAAAGGAAUUUAAAAUGUAGGAUCAAAGAUGUAGCUGCUUUUCCAUUGAAGCAGCAGUCAAGAGAGUGCCCAAAGCGACAGUUUUCCUGUACAGCUAUAGCCUCUUCUGUUAUCUGUAACUAAUCUACAACGUUUUUGGAAAAGAUAGCUUAAGAAAAGUUAGUACUGAGGUGGGUGUGCCUGGUUCCUUCAUCUGAGCACGGUGAAUUGAGCAACAGAACACAAACACGGGAAACCCGCACGGUUGCGAGAGUCCACAGAAGGGCGCUGUUCACGUGCAAGGUACUGAAAGGAGUUACUGCAGGAUGGCAUAAGAGGGGCCGCACUGACAAAUGAGAACGAGGGCCAUCUGGGAGUCCGGCUUUGAAUCUUAGAAACAUGACCUACUUUGGUGGCAUGUGAGGGGUAAAGGCAAGAGAGAGAAGGACAGAUCGGGAACUCUUCACUGGCGUCCCCUUAGACACUGUGGCUUGGUGACAGUUGUGAGGCAGGCAGUGACUGAGCUCUGACUCUCCGAGGGCAGGGCUCAGCCCUGGCGAGGCGGUUGGCAGCACCGCAAGGGUCAGGCCACACCAGGCCUCGGGAGAGACUGGCCAUGUCAUCCGUAGCCUUGGCUCCCUCCCUGGGCUCAGGCUGCUGGGCCAUGGAGCCUGUUUUCCACUCCCAGUUUAAAGUCCUGGAGGAGAAUUCCAACAGCAUCCAGAGGAAGUGCUGGGAUCCAAGAAGAAUCCUUUCCCCCGGUCUCCUUUAGGGGGUAAAUUUCAAGUUUGGGUAAAAUUUUCACUGUACAGAGAUGAGUAAGUAGAAAUUCUCUGUAAAAGAGUUUGCAUACUUUGGGCAAGAGAGUAUUACACGCGAGAGCCAUUCAUACAUUCGCCAAGUAUUCAUUGUCUCCCGUGCCUGGCAUUCUUCUAGAUGCUUAGAAUAGGGCAGCGGACAAGAGAGAAAAUCCCUGCCUUCAUGGAACAUAUAUGCUAUCAGAGAAAAAUAUUUUCUGAAGGAAAGAAGGCCAUUUUAGACAGCAUCUGCUCUGUUCUGUUCUCUAGGAAAAAAAAGGAUCCCAUGGCUAUUCCGCUUGAUGUCGGUAUCCCCAGGAAACGUCCACAAAUGCACAAGAGAUAGGCGUAAUGAAGCCCACUGAAACUUGCCAGGGAAAAUUGCAAACAACCUAAAUGUCACUAGAGAAAAGGAUAAGUAAACGUGGCAGUGUUCUAGGUACUUGGGAAUCAUCAGUGAACAAAACAAAGAUCCUGCCCCUGUGGACCUUAUGUGCCAGAGACAAUUGCAACAUGACUUUCCCAGAGCCCUGAUUUUCAGCACGGAUGAUUUUUUCUUCAGGGAAGAUGGUGCCUAUGAGUUCAAUCCUGACUUCCUGGAGGAAGCUCAUGAAUGGAACCAAAAAAGAGCAAGAAAAGCAAUGAGGAAUGGCAUAUCCCCCAUUAUUAUUGAUAAUACCAACCUCCACGCCUGGGAAAUGAAGCCCUAUGCAGUCAUGGCACUUGAAAAUAACUAUGAAGUUAUAUUCCGAGAACCUGACACUCGCUGGAAAUUCAACGUUCAAGAGUUAGCAAGAAGAAACAUUCAUGGAGUUCCAAGAGAAAAAAUACUUCGAAUGAAAGAACGGUAUGAACAUGAUGUUACCUUUCACAGUGUGCUUCAUGCAGAAAAACCAAGCAGAAUGAACAGAAACCAGGACAGGAAUAAUGCACUGCCUUCCAACAAUGCAGGAUACUGGAAUACCUAUUCUGAGUUUCCAAACCGGAGGGCUCAUGGCGGCUUCACAAAUGAGAGCUCCUUCAACAGAAGGGGUGGUUAUCACCAUGGAUAUUAGAGGCCUAUCUUAACAGCCAUUCAAAAUUUUCCUAAGUCAGUUUUUACUUCAAUUUUUGGUAUUUAUUCUUUGUUCUGUUUUAGUCAGAGCUCUAAUUCCAGUGUACAUAGUUGAACUCAAAAGUUUCUGAGCAGAAGUCAUUAUAUUCAUUAUCUUCAACAAGCAUUUGUUAAAGUGCUCCUGUAUGCAUGGUCUGAUACUGGGAAUUCUGCAGAUUUGAUUAAACAGCCUCUUUCUAGAGAAAGAAUUAAUUUGAAACCAAAACCUGAGAACAUACCCAAGAACAUAAUCAAUUACACAUUCUGAUUUAAGAAUGAAGAAUCAGUGAAAAGAAAACACCACUGUAAUAUCUUAUUCAUCCUGACUUUUGAACUGGAUAAAACUACAGCAGAACCAACACAGGUGUUUCAUAUUUUGUGCCACAACUCCGUGGUGGCUGAAAUGCCUUCUGUGCAGCUGGAGAAACAAAUGUACAAAUGGGACUAACAGGUGGAGGGUAUAUAAAUCUGAUGAUGGACGCCAGACACUCAAUAUAACUGUUGAGAAAAAUAUGAAAAAGACACAAUGGGAAGAACUGAUACUCAUUAAAAUUCUUGUCUAAAAAUCAAAACAGAUAAUAAAGACUAAGGAUUGUAGGCACUGGUAGUCCAAUUUGCUCCUCUGAUAUAAACUAACUUUAUACUUUACCUAGCAUUUGUAAUCAUUUUAUUAAUAAGAUUAUUUUUUAACUUAACAAAAGUGAUAAAAACAAAACAUUUACACACUGACCUGAAUCUUUUUCCUUUUUUGCAUAGCUUAUAACACGCAACUUCCACACAGUUGUAACAUCCCUUGAUAAACCUUGUUCGCCUUGUUCAGCAGACUCCAUAGCCUUCCUGAAUUCCAACUGGAUCUGUGCUUGUUUCUUAUCAUUCAACAUUUGUCUGUAAUUAUUCAAGGCUCUUAACUGCUCUUCACUGAAAUAAUCCUGUGACCAUUUAAAAUAUUGGAAUAAAAAGCAAACAAAACAAAAAAGUCCCAUCUAUUGUAACUGGAUCACUCUAAAUGGGAA